UUCCCAAUGAUGUCAAAACUUAGCUAAUUGUGAGCUGCUUCAUUUUAAGAAACUGUCUUAGAAUAAGAAAUAGCACUGAACAAAUAAUCGUCGAAGCUGAUCUGAGGGAA
rnacentral:snoRNA from 13 species